UCUGACACAGGUGCUGCAUGGCUGUCGUCUAGCUCGUGUCGUGAGAUGUUGGGUUAAGUCCGUACGAGCGCAACCCUUGUCCUUAGUUACCAGCACGUUAUGGUGGGCACUCUAAGGAGACUGCCGGUGACAAACCGGAGGAAGGUGGGGAUGACGUCAAGUCAUCAUGGCCCUUACGGCCUGGGCUACACACGUGCUACAAUGGUCGGUACAAAGGGUUGCCAAGCCGCGAGGUGGAGCUAAUCCCAUAAAACCGAUCGUAGUCCGGAUCGCAGUCUGCAACUCGACUGCGUGAAGUCGGAAUCGCUAGUAAUCGUGAAUCAGAAUGUCACGGUGAAUACGUUCCCGGGCCUU
rnacentral:rRNA from 1 species